rnacentral:rRNA from 1 species
UACGAAGGGGGCUAGCGUUGCUCGGAAUCACUGGGCGUAAAGCGCACGUAGGCGGCUUUUUAAGUCAGGGGUGAAAUCCUGGAGCUCAACUCCAGAACUGCCUUUGAUACUGAGAGCUUGAGUCCGGGAGAGGUGAGUGGAACUGCGAGUGUAGAGGUGAAAUUCGUAGAUAUUCGCAAGAACACCAGUGGCGAAGGCGGCUCACUGGCCCGGUACUGACGCUGAGGCGCGAAAGCGUGGGGAGCAAACGGG